ACAAGGUCUCCGUUGGUGAACCAGCGAAGGGAUCAUUA
rnacentral:rRNA from 1 species